rnacentral:tRNA from 1 species
UCCUCAAUAGCUCAGUUGGUAGAGCGCGCGGCUGUUAACCGCGUUGUCGUAGGUUCGAGUCCUACUUGGGGAGCCA